UACGUAGGGUGCGAGCGUUAAUCGGAAUUACUGGGCGUAAAGUGUGCGCAGGCGGCGUCGCAAGUCGAGUGUGAAAGCCCCGAGCUUAACUUGGGAAUUGCGCUCGAAACUACGAUGCUGGAGUAUGGCAGAGGAAGGUGGAAUUCCACGUGUAGCGGUGAAAUGCGUAGAGAUGUGGAGGAACACCGAUGGCGAAGGCAGCCUUCUGGGCCAAUACUGACGCUGAGAAGCGAAAGCAUGGGGAGCGAACAGG
rnacentral:rRNA from 1 species